AUUGAACGCUGGCGGCAUGCUUUACACAUGCAAGUCGAACGGUAACAGGCCGCAAGGUGCUGACGAGUGGCGAACGGGUGAGUAAUGCAUCGGAACGUGCCCAGUCGUGGGGGAUAACGCAGCGAAAGCUGCGCUAAUACCGCAUACGAUCUAUGGAUGAAAGCGGGGGACCGUAAGGCCUCGCGCCAUUGGAGCGGCCGAUGUCAGAUUAGGUAGUUGGUGGGGUAAAGGCUCACCAAGCCGACGAUCUGUAGCUGGUCUGAGAGGACGACCAGCCACACUGGGACUGAGACACGGCCCAGACUCCUACGGGAGGCAGCAGUGGGGAAUCUUGGACAAUGGGCGCAAGCCUGAUCCAGCAAUGCCGCGUGCAGGAAGAAGGCCUUCGGGUUGUAAACUGCUUUUGUACGGAACGAAACGGUCCUGGUUAAUACCCGGGGCUAAUGACGGUACCGUAAGAAUAAGCACCGGCUAACUACGUGCCAGCCGCCGCAGUAAGAC
rnacentral:rRNA from 1 species